GUAUUUUAAAAAGAUGAGCUCAGUAUCUUAGAUAAACACACUGCUGUGUUUGGAAGUAAAAACGUACUGUACAUAAAGCAGUCAGUGACUUAGUAAAUGUAGUUUUAAUAAUGAGGUUUAAUUUAAAUGUGUAAAGUGUUUGUGUAGUUUGCAUAUUGUAGACAGUAAUAUCAGCUGUAGUGAUGUUGAAUAAGAUGAAUGAUUAGAUGGUUAUGAUUUUAACUGCACUCCUCAUGUCUGCUGCUGAAAGUCCUGUUGAAAUGCUGUGAAUGCUGCAGGGCAGAAGAGUGCUGGAGCUGCAGUGUGUUUUCUCUGUGUUUGUGAAUGUGUUGUGUUUGUCUCCUGCAGCUGGUCCCACAGUGAAGCCCUCAGUGUCUCUGCUGCCGCCCUCUUCUCUGCAGAUCUCUGGAGACUCAGCCGCACUGCUCUGCCUGCUCAGCUCUUACUCUCCACAGGGGGCGCUGGUGAGCUGGACACUGGACGGCUCAGAGGUCACCGAGGGGGUUGUGACCAGCGCAGAGAGCGAGCAGGACGGCCGCUACAGCCGCAGUAGUGUCCUGACCCUCAGCAAAGCACGCUGGGAAGCGGGAGAGCAGUACGUCUGCAGAGUAACACAUGAUGGAGCUUCUCAUGAGGCCUCGUUCCACAAGAGUCGCUGUUAG